UACGUAGGGGGCAAGCGUUGUCCGGAUUUAUUGGGCGUAAAGAGCUCGUAGGUGGUUUGGUAAGUCGGAUGUGAAAUCUCCAGGCUCAACCUGGAGGGGUCAUUCGAUACUGCCGUGACUAGAGUUCGGUAGGGGAGUGUGGAAUUCCUGGUGGAGCGGUGAAAUGCGCAGAUAUCAGGAGGAACACCCGUAGCGAAGGCGGCACUCUGGGCCGAUACUGACACUGAGGAGCGAAAGCGUGGGGAGCGAACAGG
rnacentral:rRNA from 1 species